CCAGACUCCAAACUGGCGUAUAUAUGUCAACGCCUGAACGCCCAUCGUCGUACAUUUUACAUUCAGUUCUUAAUAGAUAUACAUAAUAGAGGCUUUACGGUUUUAUGGGGGUAGAACGGCAUGAGGGUAAAUAAAUAGACAGAUAGACAGAGAUGUCAACAGUUCAGUUUUAUUGCAGUGAUGAGCAAAAUGGAGUAAUGCAGGUGCUGGAGAAAUCAUAGAUAUGGAGAUGAGGAACCGGGAACCUUAAUUUUAUUGCCAUAAGUAUCGAUAUGUAAAGCUUGGGGCUGUUAAUUAGCCUGACAUGGCUGACUUGUUUUGAUUUAACAUUGUUAACGUUAUUUCCACCGAAUCGAACGCUACUAACAUUACCAUUUUGCCAUUAUGUUCACUCAGUUUGCUGGCGAAGGUUAUGUAAUCUGCACAGAUUUAGGACAUAUACUCAACUCAUGAGUCAUAGCCGAAUUGAGCAGCACCUGCGCAUUUCUGGCUUACUUCAACACAACCAUCACUAAACAACAAUUACAAAAAUAAAAAAAAAAUAAAAAUAAAAAAAAAUUCACCAAGCAA